CACCGGAAAAGGGGGGUAUAUUGGAUAGGGACAGAAAUUUUGCCUUGCAACAGGCCACCUACGGACCCCUCAAAGAGUUGUUGCGAGGGUUCUUAACGUGCAAAGAGCGUGGCACUCUCUUUACACGAGGCAUCGGAUUUAACGUGCCCCUUCUGACCGGACGUGACUGCAAACUUGAUACAUCCCGCACAGCCAAACGGACGCCCCACUUCGGCAAGCGUUUUACUG
rnacentral:lncRNA from 1 species